UCUGAUGGAGACUUUAAAUCUGUAGCCGCUUAGAAACGGAGUGGUUCGAUUCCAC
rnacentral:tRNA from 1 species